UACGUAGGGGGCUAGCGUUGUCCGGAAUCAUUGGGCGUAAAGCGCGUGUAGGCGGCCCGGUAAGUCCGCUGUGAAAGUCGGGGGCUCAACCCUCGGAUGCCGGUGGAUACUGUCGGGCUUGAGUACGGGAGAGGCGAGUGGAAUUCCUGGUGUAGCGGUGAAAUGCGCAGAUAUCAGGAGGAACACCUAUUGCGAAGGCAGCUCGCUGGGACGUGACUGACGCUGAGACGCGAAAGCGUGGGGAGCGAACAGG
rnacentral:rRNA from 1 species